UCCAGACUCCUACGGGAGGCAGCAGUGAGGAAUAUUGGUCAAUGGGCGCAAGCCUGAACCAGCCAAGUCGCGUGAGGGAAGACGGCCCUACGGGUUGUAAACCUCUUUUGCCGGGGAGCAAGCCUGAGCACGUGUGCCCAGGCGGAGAGUACCCGGAGAAAAAGCAUCGGCUAACUCCGUGCCAGCAGCCGCGGUAAUACGGAGGAUGCGAGCGUUAUCCGGAUUUAUUGGGUUUAAAGGGUGCGCAGGCGGGCUGUUAAGCCGGCGGUAAAAAUUCAGGGCUCAACCCUGUCGAGCCGUCGGAACUGGCAGCCUUGAGUGGGCGAGAAGUAUGCGGAAUGCGUGGUGUAGCGGUGAAAUGCAUAGAUAUCACGAAGAACUCCGAUUGCGAAGGCAGCUCACUGGACUGCAACUGACACUGAGGCUCGAAAGUGUGGGUAUCAAACAGGAUUAGAUACCCUAGUAUU
rnacentral:rRNA from 1 species